UUCCACACAGGAAGGUCACACCAUCCCUCACCAUCAUCAGCAUGAAGAACAGAUGGAUGUUAAAGUUAAAGAGGAAGAAGAGGAGGCCUAUGUGAUGGGAUAUCAGCAUUCUUCGGAGGAGGCUGGGUUAAAGGCAAUAAAGGAAUCUGUAGAUGUCUGCACAGAUGGAUCCAGUAAUGGGAACCCACCAGAGAGAUGUCCCCGUC